UACGUAGGGGGCAAGCGUUGUCCGGAUUUAUUGGGCGUAAAGAGCGCGUAGGCGGCCAGGUAGGUCCGCUGUGAAAACUCGAGGCUCAACCUCGAGAUGUCGGCGGAAACCAUCUGGCUAGAGUCCGGAAGAGGAGAGUGGAAUUCCUGGUGUAGCGGUGAAAUGCGCAGAUAUCAGGAAGAACACCCGUGGCGAAGGCGGCUCUCUGGGACGGUACUGACGCUGAGACGCGAAAGCGUGGGGAGCGAACAGG
rnacentral:rRNA from 1 species